rnacentral:rRNA from 1 species
AACCUCCGCAAUGUACGAAAGUGCGACGGGGGGAUCCCAAGUGUUAUGCUUUUUUGUAUAACUUUUCAUUAGUGUAAAAAGCUUUUAGAAUAAGAGCUGGGCAAGACCGGUGCCAGCCGCCGCGGUAACACCGGCAGCUCGAGUGGUAGCUGUUUUUAUUGGGCCUAAAGCGUUCGUAGCCGGUUUGAUAAGUCUUUGGUGAAAGCUUGUAGCUUAACUAUAAGAAUUGCUGGAGAUACUAUCAGACUUGAAGUCGGGAGAGGUUAGAGGUACUACCGGGGUAGGGUGAAAUCCUAUAAUCCUGGGAGGACCACCUGUGGCGAAGGCGUCUAACUGGAACGAUCUUGACGGUGAGUAACGAAAGCCAGGGGCGCGAACCGGAUUAGAUACCCGGGUAUCCUGGCCGUAAACGAUGUGGACUUGGUGUUGGAAUGGCUUUGAGUUGUCCGGUGCCGAAGGAGCUGUUAAGUCCACCGCCUGGGAAGUACGGUCGCAAGACUGAAACUUAAAGGAAUG